rfam:Plasmodium falciparum RAJ116 cont1.2269, whole genome shotgun sequence.
UGCCGACUACUUAGUCCAAGGAUCAUUGCUAUAGUAUUUGUGAUGUUUUAAUUGUUAUAAACAAAACAGAUUUUCAAAAGUGAUGAUGAACAGACGCUGCUCUAAAUUGAAUUGUUUUCGAAAUUUUUCCACCUUCUUAAGGAAAAUUGUAAAACUUUCCGAAAAAUUACAUGAUAUUAUUUUGUUGGCAAAUUGAAUUUUUAUUUUUUUUGCCAAUCAUAAAUAAAUGAGCUCGCGUCCGCUGAACUUAC